CACGUAGGCACCAAGCGUUGUCCGGAUUUAUUGGGCGUAAAGAGCUCGUAGGCGGCACGGUUAGUCAGGUGUGAAAUCUCCACGCUCAACGUGGAGGGGUCACCUGAUACUGCCGAGCUUGAGUCCGGUAGGGGAGUGUGGAAUUCCCGGUGUAGCGGUGAAAUGCGCAGAUAUCGGGGAGGAACACCCGUAGCGAAGGCGG
rnacentral:rRNA from 1 species